UCAAAGGACUUCUUAGAGUCCAAUGCACACUUAAUAUUAAGUCCAAU
rfam:Capsicum annuum cultivar Zunla-1 chromosome 5, whole genome shotgun sequence